UGUACAGUAUGCCUAGUUAUCAGAAUGUGAUAACAGAUGACAUACCUGAGUUGGAAAUUAUUUGUGACAUAUUUUUCUAUGUUGAAGCACUAAAGUCAACUGGAGUGAAAUGGCUCUGAAGCAGAUGUCACAAUUGAUGCGCAGUCCACAGAUCACACCUGGGAAUGUCUUAGUUCAGCCCUCCUAAACUAGUUACUUUCCUACAUGAGAAAAUCAGUUGAAUUCCUGUUGCCUCACGUGGCUCUGUCUCUGAGGUUUGGCUGUGCCGAUCUCCCGAAGCGACUUCUAGUCUUCUCAAAUGCAUCCUCUGUUCUUCACUUAAUUUUCCCCUUCUGGGGGAAGCAACGCUUGCUUCCCAGCCUUGGAGGCGGAUCGUUUCGGUCUCACCUCCGUGAGGGUGGCUCUCCGUAAGCCAAGGGGAAGGCAUGUCAUCUUCCUUAAGUCACAAGCACAGAAUUCCUAUUUGUGAAUUGGUGUACUUCUGUGAAUUGGACUUGGAACA